rnacentral:tRNA from 1 species
GGCAGUGUAGCUCAGUAGUAGAGCACAUGCUUAGCAUGCGUGUGCCCCUAGAUUCAAACCCCAGCAUUCCUG